AGUAUUGUAAGGGGUUGCUGCAGGAGCUCACUGCCUUCUGGGGCGCUCCCGUUUCCUGCCCUGUGACAGGGCAGGAAACGGGAGUGCCCCAGAAAGCUGUGCACUCCUGCAGCCACACGGGAGGCUGCCCCACUGCCUUGCGCCCCAGAAGGCAGUGGGGCAGCCUUCCAAAACCCGAGACACUUGG